AUUUACAGUUAUACUUUAUUUAAGGGCCUAAAAAACCCCAAAGUCACCAGAUUCCAUCUGAUCUUGGGUCAGCUCUGGUUAGUACUUGGAUGGGAGACCACCAAUGAAUACCAGGUGCUAUAGGCU
rnacentral:rRNA from 11 species